rnacentral:rRNA from 1 species
CGAGGAGCACGCGGACACAGGGGAAAUUCUAAAUAGAAUAUACGGGCCCGCGCACGCGCGGUAGAGCAUGUGUUUUAAUUAGACACAACGAGAAGCACUUUACGUCCCCGUCACAUGUCUGGAAUCCUGUAGAGAUACGUGAGCGCUUUCGGGAAUCAGCACACAGGUGUUGCAUGGCUGUCGUCAGCUCGUGUCGAGAGAUGUUGGGAUAAGUCCCGCAUCGAGCGCAACCCCUGUCCUUUGUCGCCAGCACGUAAUGGUGGGAACUCAAGGGAGACUGCCGGUGAUAAACCGGAGUAAGGUGGGGAUGACGUCAAGUCAUCAUGGCCUUUACGGCCAGGGCUACACACGUGCUACAAUGGCGCGUACAGAGGGCUGCAAGCUAGCGAUAGUGAGCGAAUCCCAAAAAGCGCGUCGUAGUCCGGAUUGGAGUCUGCAACUCGACUCCAUGAAGUCGGAAUCGCUAGUAAUCGCAAAUCAGAAUGUUGCGGUGAAUACGUUCCCGGGCCUUGUACACACCGCCCGUCACACCAUGGGAGUGGGUUGCACCA